AUCACUCUAACACUUCUGUGUCAUAGCAGUAUGAAUAUCCGUAGGAAUAUCAAGAGGUGGGUGAGCACUACUGAGGUAAACCUUUGGCUUAUGGAUGCCAGCUUUGCUGCAAGUGACCAUGGUAUGUGAAUUGUGGGGAGCAAGACACGGGAAUGAAAUAGGUGCAGCAACGUCUGAAGGAGAAACAGAUGCAUUUAGAGAUGCCCGUGUUGAACUUGGUAGGUUAGGAGAGUGGG
rnacentral:lncRNA from 1 species